CACUUACAACCACAUCUUAUACAUUAUUAUGUGAUAUUUACAAAGUUAACCAUUUCAUAUUUUGACAAAUCCUAAACAUUACAAAUCUUUUGUUAUGCUCUAUGGUAGGUAAAAAGUCCUGUAUUUGUAAAAACUAUUCCAUGAAAACUUGUAGUUUGAAACGUGGUUCCUAGUAACACUGUGUGUCCUGUUGAUCCACUCAGGACACACACUCCAUCCAUGCUGUGUAAUUGCAUAAAUCCUGGUUUUCAUCAUGGCGGUCGCUGCACAGGACUUGACGUGUCUUUGAUGUUCACAAAGAGGCUCUGAAAUUUACUUUAGACGAUGCAUGAACAAAAGGCCCACUGGGACUGCAUGGACUCACCAGAUCACCCACAGCGUGAUCGAGAUCCAGCGGAUGUUUGGGGAACGGAGCAGGUCACAGAUGUUGCAGGGCCUCCUCUUCUUGGCCUUCACUCUGUUCUGUGGAGCAGCGGAGCAUGAAGAACAACAACAGACAUCUAAUUAACAAGCUGAGAUGUCAGCCAAGCGGUACUGUAAUGACACUGAGGCUUUUGAGUUCGCUGUCACUUGAGGAGGGAAUUUGUAGUUUCUACCAGCUUUGUACAUCCAGAGGCGAAAACCUUUUUUUUUCUUCAGUCAGUUGUGAAAAGCAUGGUUCAAUCCUUGCCAGUGAUUCUCCAGUUAAUUUUAAUCUGGGCUUUGACUGGGCCCUUUUACUACUAAAUAAUGCAGUGAUCGGCAUCUUUACAUUGUUGUCCUGCCUGCAAUUGUCAGCCCAUUGUUCUCCUGAGAGGUAAACCUCUAACCUGCUUCAUUAGGUUAGAAAAUCGUCUCCUAUUCAGCUUCAUUUGUCCAAGCAUAAAAUCUAAUCAAUUAAAUAAAAGUAUCCCCACAGGAUGAUGUUGCCAU